rnacentral:rRNA from 1 species
UAACACAUGCAAGUCGAGCGGAAAGGCCCUUCGGGGUACUCGAGCGGCGAACGGGUGAGUAACACGUGAGCAACCUGCCCUUGGCUUCGGGAUAACCAUCGGAAACGGUGGCUAAUACCGGAUACGACACGAGGUCGCAUGAUCUUCGUGUGGAAAGUUUUUCGGCCAGGGAUGGGCUCGCGGCCUAUCAGCUUGUUGGUGGGGUGAUGGCCUACCAAGGCGACGACGGGUAGCCGGCCUGAGAGGGCGACCGGCCACACUGGGACUGAGACACGGCCCAGACUCCUACGGGAGGCAGCAGUGGGGAAUAUUGCGCAAUGGGCGGAAGCCUGACGCAGCGACGCCGCGUGAGGGAUGACGGCCUUCGGGUUGUAAACCCCUUUCAGCAGGGACGAAGCGAAAGUGACGGUACCUGCAGAAGAAGCACCGGCCAACUACGUGCCAGCAGCCGCGGUAAGACGUAGGGUGCGAGCGUUGUCCGGAUUUAUUGGGCGUAAAGAGCUCGUAGGCGGCUCGUCGCGUCGGUUGUGAAAACUCUAGGCUUAACCUGGAGCUUGCAACCGAUACGGGCGGGCUAGAGUUCGGUAGGGGAGACUGGAAUUCCUGGUGUAGCGGUGAAAUGCGCAGAUAUCAGGAGGAACACCGGUGGCGAAGGCGGGUCUCUGGGCCGAUACUGACGCUGAGGAGCGAAAGCGUGGGGAGCGAACAGGAUUAGAUACCCUGGUAGUCCACGCUGUAAACGGUGGGUGCUAGGUGUGGGGGACCUCUCCAGGUCUCCGUGCCGCAGCUAACGCAUUAAGCACCCCGCCU